GUGCCAGCAGCCGCGGUAAGACAGAGGGUGCAAACGUUGCUCGGAAUUACUGGGCGUAAAGCGCGUGUAGGUGGAUUGGUGUGUCAGAUGUGAAAUCCCUGGGCUCAACCCAGGAACUGCACCUGAAACUACCAGUCUUGAGUGGUGGAGAGGGAAGUGGAAUUCCUGGUGUAGAGGUGAAAUUCGUAGAUAUCAGGAGGAACACCAGUGGCGAAGGCGGCUUCCUGGACACCAACUGACGCUGAGACGCGAAAGCGUGGGGAGCAAACAGGAUUAGAUACCCUGGUAGUCC
rnacentral:rRNA from 1 species